CGCAAGACAUGAUGAUUGAACUUUGAGCGAGAUAAUGUUUUAUAUUGUUACACUGCACGGAGUGGAGAGGAGCAGAAUCUGAUGCGCGUCAAAAACAAUAAUCUGAGGCACGAGACUUUUUAACCAAAUCGAAACUAAAAUGGCGAAGAAAGAUGAUGAUAAAUCAGGCAUUCGAAGAUUCUUCACCAUUGUCACGUCCCCUAUCUGGGUGCCAGUGGCGGCCGCAGGGUCCCUGGCGGCGGCACCUUUCCAGGCUGUGGGGGACUCCAUCGAUGUAGCCGAUAAAACAAAAUCCGCAGGAGCAGGAUUAUCUAGUUACCCUGGGAACGCCAUCGUCAGAGUCGUGUCGAAUCCAUUCAAGGCUGUCGCCGAAGUUGGAGAAGCAAUGUGGGGAAAAGACUAAUGAUUAUCGAGAGACAGAUGCCAAGCUUCAUGUCUUGUUUCUUUUUUAAAUACAGAACACACAUUUGAAUAUGUUAUAUUCGAGUAAAUGAAGAAAUGAUCAUGAUUUGUUAUAUUUGAAAUUUGGAAGUUCAUUUGUAUUCUUGUACCUUUAAACAGUGAAUGUAUGAUCUGUAUUCAUUCCAUAUUCACAAAAUUCACGGAUUGCAAAAAGAGAAAAGAAAAAAAGAAGAUAUUAAUUUAAAAACAAUUGGUAAUGAUUCGUAAUUUAGUUUUUUCGUCAAUUGCAUUCUUGUAUUUGUAAAGAGUAUUUUAGAUUUCUUAGUAUUCACACGAUCUUUAACAAUUGUUUCAUAUAUUUUUUUAAUUAAGAUAAUUAAAUUAUUAAAAACAAAGGAAUUUUACUUGUAUUUUCUUUACUUGUGUAUGUUGUUCGGGAUAAGUAGUAAUACAAUAAUUAAUUAAUAAGGGUUUUGCGACUUUCGCCCUCUCUUAUGUUCGCCAAUCUUCACCUUCAAACGGUUUCCCACGGUGUUAAAUUCGCCCUAAAGAUUUUGUUUAAAGAGAAAUAAUAUAAGAUAAUAUUAUAAUAUAUAAUGUAAGUACAAGGAAUGAAUUUUUAUUCAUAAAACAAUGUCUUGAACGUAUGGGUCUGUUUUGGAAUCGGCAAAUUUUAGCAAUAAAAUGACAUUUACAAAGUAGUAAUGUGUUCUUUCUUUUCAUAGUGUCUUAGAAUUUCCAGGGAAGUGGAUCGGUAAAAUUUAAAAGAGAGUUUCAAUAAUUUUCUGAUUUUUGGUCUUGUUCAUAAACACUCGUUGCAGACAUCUCGCCAUAAUUUGUUACAUGUAUUUUCUUUUCCGGAUGAAUGAGACUACAGUUGUAUUGAAAAGGAGACUACAGUUCUAUACGAAGGGUUUUUUUUCGUGGUGACCUUUAUAUUUGGAGCACUUCAAUUUUGUAUUUUUUCUUCGUAUUCAUAUGUCUCUUAAUCAUCCAUUAUCGAAGAGAAUAUACAAGGUAUGGCAGUGACACUAGAGGUUUUGCUCCAAGUAACCUUAAACGUAAACUAUGACCCUUAGAUUACAAAUACUUGAACGUUUGAGUAUGACCUUUAGAUUGCAGUUAUAAGGUGUGAUCUCUUAAGGGAAGGCGGCAAUCUCUUAAACCAUCUUUUCUGAUAUAACGCUCACUGGCUAUAUACAUGUGAUUGACCUUUGUUCUCAGAUCAUACCGACAGUGUAUAGCUACAUGUAUGUCUUGUUGAAAAUUAAGUUAUUUUAAAUAUUAGUUACCGAUAAACAAAUGGUCUUUUGAAAACAGAUGUAAAAUUUUGACGAGGUAAGAUUUAAAGAGUGUAGGUGUUAAAAUAUUGGUGUGUAUAUGACCCCUUCCCCUUUUCCUUCAACCAAUAAUUUGCAAAAAAAUCGAUAUUUGUCAGUAGACAGAAAUUGGUAACUUAAGGGGAAUGUGCAGCCAUUUUGUACAUUUGAGGAUGAACAUGUAAACAUUACUUGAAUUUGCUUGUUUCUGUAAAAUAAAACUACCAAAUUUGUUGUUAAAAGAUGAAAACACAAUAGUUAUGUGAUACUAGAUAUUGUUUUGUAUGCAAAUAAUGCAUGCAAGAAAAGAAAAGUGCCCUUUUAAAUCCCUUAGAAAGGCGCAGUUACAGACUUAAAUUCAAUAUUUUGAAAUCUGAAAAAAAUUCUGUCCACUCUACAACCAUUUAUUGAGAAAAAGGUCAAAGCUUGCUUGUUUAAUCUAAACUUUGUCUCAAAAUAAUGUACCAUAUUCUUAAAAGUCUGAAAAACUAUCAAUUCUUACGGGUUAUAUUUGUGUAUAUGGAAGUACAUUGAAGUUAUAUAUCUUCAUUAAAAAAAAAUAUGUUAAGAUUUUACAUUUAAAACAAUUUAAUUUUUUUUUAAUCCACUUCUGAAAUGAACUUACGAUAGUGUAUUCUUUAAGAUAUGAAAAAAAUCAACCUGCGACCGGUUUAGAUUGUUUUGAAUUCACUUUUUAACUUUUUUUCCACAUAGAAAUAUAAAGUCAAUGUGCCUCUAUACACACGAGUUUUUUUUUUCUUGUUUUCAAAAAAAAAUCACAGGCUCACUGAUAAAAAUAGGUUGCCCUAGUUUGAGGCAAAGUUACAACAUCAAUGUGCAAGAUUCAACCAUUUUCUCAACAAAUGGUUGUAGAUAUGAGACCAAUGAAGUCCUUUUGUAUUGUUUCAGAUAUUUAAAUUGUCAAAAUAAGUUUGCAGCUGCGCGGUUCUACAGCUGCUUUAAGUGAUUUAAGGAGCAUUGUUCCGUUCUUGUGUGCGUAAUUUGCACACAAAUCAAUAUGUAAAAAAUAAUAUUUGUUGCUUUUCUUUAUCUUUUGGCAAAAGUGUUGGUCGGUUUUGGGCAGAGACAAGUCCUCACAUUUUUAUUCGUAAAUGUACAAGAUGGUUGCACACCCAUUAAGAUUCUAAUAAAAUACAUUAUGAUUAUACAAAAAAAAGUUUGAUUGCAUGGUAUUUAUUUAAAUCCAGCUUCCAUUUAUGGACACUUUUACAGAAGUUACUAUUUGACUUUAUUAAUACUAGUCAAAAAACGAUGUUUAUCUAACCAGAUUUAUAUUUCCUAGCAAAAGACUUUUGAAGGUUGCUAUUUGAUUCUUCGACAGACUCUUACCCCAUCAAUAUACUUUAUUCCCUCAGAAAAGUAGCCUUGAAGGUCCUACAUUACCCACUCAUUAAGCUAAAUACUGCAUUAAAUCUGAUACCUGAUAUGACAUUAAAUUUACUUUUCUACAAACGGGUCUAAAAACCAAAUGUAACACUGUGCCAAGGUGGCAUUUUUUCCACCCGCUUGAGAUGUAGUUUCGGAAAAACCCAUAUAAACCAAAUGAUAGACCAUUGUCUAGAGAGUAUAUAUCCACCUUUGUUUUUAGUGUGUUUCACCUGACAGGUGAGAUAUUUACCUUUAAAUAAUUAAUAUCCCAUAGGAAUAUAAUAAUUACUAGAGGAGAAACGAUUCUCCUAGAGGAAAUAUUGACAAUUCUAAAGGAUAUUCUAAAAAUCCUAUAGGAAUUAUAUUUCCUACAGGAGAAAGCUAUUUCCUGUAGGAAUUUGAUUCAGACAGGUAGUUUUCCUAUAGUAAAUUAAGAUUUUUCUUUUGGAUUUUAUUAAAUCCUAUCAGAAUUAAAAUUCCUGUUUGAAGUUCUCGUAUUCCGAUAGGAAAUUCAAUUUUUCUAUAAGAAUAUUGUUUUACCUAUUGGAAAAAUUAUUUACCUGUAGGAAUGUAGUUUUGAAAGGUAAAUGUCUCACCUGGCAGGUGAGAUACAAUGAUGACAAAGGUGGUUGUGAACUCAUUAAGCAAUGGUCUAUAUCAUAUGGCAUAUUUGAAUUUUUCGAUAUAUGCAGCUUAGAUGGGUGCAAAAAUGCAACCUUGGCUCUGGCAUAAUUAUCCGGCACAGUGUUCUGUGUUCUACAUGUAGCUGCAAGUAAAUAAACUUGCUCACACUUAAAUAAUUUCGAUUUAUAUAAAAAGUUCUUAACUGUUAUGCAAAAAGUUCUUAACUGUACAUACCAAUAUUAUUGUAAGUAUACGAAGAAAAAAACCUUUAUAAUUUGGACCAGCAUAAAAAAUCUAUCCUUUUACAUGUAUCCAAUGCAAUAGUUUCAAGAGUUAUUGAACUUUGACAAACUGCCAAUAGCAGAUGUUCUUUGAACAUACACAUGCAUAACUUGUUGGAUAUUAUUUGAACAUUUUUUUUUACUGUUGACAGAAUUUUGUUAUGGCGAUUUGAGGUCACAAGGUUGAAAUUUAUAUAAAGGCGGAAGUCUGACCUUCGGUAGAGAUAAAAGGGUUUUUAGAACUGUUGUUUGCAGAAAAUAGAGCGAAAAACAAGAACAAGAAGAAUUGACCAAAACGAAACAAGAAUGGCUGAAAACGAUGAAAACAAAACUAUUCGGAAAGUGUUUACGGUUGUGACGUCUCCUCUCUGGGUCCCAGUUGCGGCGGUAGGAUCACUGGUAGCUGCACCAAUCCAAGCUGUGAAAGACUCCAAGGAGGUGGCCGAGAAAACGGAUUCUGCGGGAGCUGGAGUGUCUAGCUACCCAGGGAACGCCGUGGUCCGACUCGUGACAAAUCCCUUUAAGGGCGUGGUCAAAGUUGGAGAAGCAUUGUGGGGCAAGGACGAUAAAUAAGUAGAGAAAACCCAGCAUCCUGCUUGAUACUUAUACAGAACAAACAUCUGAUGGUACUCAUAUUGACUUUAUUAUGAUUAUAAAUGAUCAUUUUUCACUUAUUGUUUAAACAUAUCUAAACAUCGUUUCAGUGCUUUGUUUGAAUAAAUUUGAGAUAAAUAUGUGUUUUCAUUUUAAUUUUAUGUACGUUGUGUAACAAAACGUAAGUUAUAUUAACAUCCAUUACACUUUCAAGAAGUAUUACGUACCGUGGUUUCUUAAAUAUUCUUGGGCAUUAAUUAUUUUGGAUGUUAAGGAAACCACACUUUCACUGAUGCAUAAAUUCGUGGACAAUGAUCCUAUCAAUACAUAUAGGAUCUCUCAUGAUUUGCGAUGGUAUAUGAAUUUUAUCCAACCAGUUGUUUGCUGAUUAUCCCUGAAACUUGGUUCUAUUUUUUUAUUCAAGAUCUGUCAACUAAACAAAAUGGAAACCGUAGGUACAUGAGCAAACUUUGGUGGUAAGAUUUUUUUGUUUGGUCUCAUGGAUCUAUAGUGUCAAUGAUUCCAGUAACCUUCGUCAAAGUACAAAGGCAGCUAACAAUCUUGUCAACCCAACUCCUAAAAACUAACCACGGCAGAAUGUUGCAUGUAACUUAAAACCUUUGACAUAAAGGUAUGAUAAAUUAUUCCAAUCGUGAUUUAUCAAUUAUCUGUGGGUUCUACAAUAUUGGUUACUUUUCGUAUUUAGUGGAUUUCAUUGUUGAGUUGUUCCCUGAAGUUUAAUCUUUAUUGAGGUUCAUCAUGUAAUAACACAUUUUAUCACAUUAUUUAAAUUUAAAUAAGAAGUCUCGUGGUGAAAGAACAUAUAGUGUAAUAUCAAUCGUGUAUCCCAUGAGUGAUAUCAACUGUAUACUGAGAUAAAAUGAUGAAAUGUGUUCCAUUUAAUUUUAGGUUGACAGAUUUUGAUUUUUUGAACCCCUCUCGUAUUUAUUACCUGGUUAGCUAUACAGAAACUGACAGUGGCUGAAAUUUACACGAUUCAGCUCUAACCAGUUUAUCCAUCGAAAGCGAAAAAAAAAUGACGGACUGCACAACAAAAUUAUGAUGAUGCCAGACUAAAUUUCACAUAAAGACGACUUGCCUAUUGCUUUUAUCUUAAUGAAUGAUGUACAUUAACAGAAAAUUAGUAACUACUUGUGUAAUACUAUUUACGAUAAAUUUGUUUACAGAAAACUGUAAAUAUAAACAACAAAAUGCUUUCCUUGUCUCUACCUUCAUAUCCCGGCCGGAUGAAUCACCAAAGAAAGCAUUGUACUGUUUAGGUUUGUCACGAUACAGAUAAAACUUUGCUGUUUACCUAAAAAUAUAAAUGCAGACAUAGUAUAAUUAAUUUCACUGAUAUGGAUAUUGAUACGUUUCAGGUAAAAAAGAUUGCCGCGUUUCAUGUUUUCUAGUAUUGAAUUGAAUUUGAUAGAGUACGGCCAAACCAGAUUAAAUACAUUAAGGUACUCUGGUUCUUUUUUUUAGUUAUUCGAACCAAAAUAUCAGUGUAUUGAAACUAUAUACUAGAAGGUAUACACGCUGUAACAAUGUUAAGCCGAUAAGGGUUGAAAUAUCUGCAAUAUUUCCCGAUUGAUCCGCGCAUGUGUUUUACACUACCGGAAGACUAAGCUUAGCAGAGAUAAAGAAUUUUUGGUUUUUUAUGUUUUAUUGAAGAACGUAGAAAAAGAAAGGGCACUUAUUCAAAACGAAACUAGAAUGGCGGAAAAUGAAGAGAACAAAACUAUUCGAAAAGUUUUCACAGUUGUGACGUCACCUCUCUGGGUCCCUGUUGCGGCGGUAGGAUCACUGGUAGCUGCGCCAAUCCAAGCUGUGAAAGACUCCAAGGAAGUGGCCGAGAAAACGGAUUCUGAUGCAAUGGGAGUAUCCAGCUACCCAGGAAACGCCGUGGUCCGAAUUGUGACGAAUCCGUUCAAGGGUGUGGUCAGAGUUGGAGAGGCAUUGUGGGGCAAGGACGAUAAAUGAAUUGAUGUGUUCCAGAGGGGCUCCAGUUACAUCACAGAUCAACUAAAUGAAAAUUAUGUGUUCACUUACAGUGUUUUGAAGUAGAUUAGUCUUCUGUGAUGUCAUAUAUUUUGUAAAACUUUGAAAUCUUUGAAAUUUUGCAGGAUAGUUUUAUAUAUCUUAAGUUAUUGAAACCACACGUAGGUAAUUAGAAUUAUUUGUAUAUAAUAAGAUACCUUGGCAUCUUAUUUUUUUUUCUUCUAAAUUUCCAAUUUUGAUACAUUUUUUUCUAAUAUGCUAUUAUUCUAAUAUGCUAUUAUUCUAAUAUUCUAUCAUAUAUAACUCUUUUUUCUGACUUUUCUAUCCGUUGUAUGUUUAAAAAUGAUAUAAUUUUUAAAAUCCUAAUACCCUUUUCGUAGUUUUAGUUUUCUAGCACAGUUGACAGUAAAAUUAAACUUGAUAUACAAAUUUCUGAUUUUAACAAAAAAAAUAUGAUUUCCGAUUCAAGAAUGUGUUCCACAGUUCCAGUUUUUUUGCUAAUCUGACAUCUUUAAAUGAUGUAUAUUUUAAAAAGAGAUUAAAUAUCAUUUAAUGAAGUUGAAAUCAGUUCUGUAUUUCAGCUUUCGUCGAAGAUUUAUGACUGUUAUGGUUUUUUUGUUCUUUAGUUAUCGUUAUACAGUUAUUAAUUUAGUCUUCUUUUUGUUUGACGAGACGGAAUAUAGCCAAUUUUGUAAAAAAUUAUUGAAUGUUUUUACUUUUCUUUCUUUUUCAAUAAAUUUUGAAAUCUGUU